rnacentral:rRNA from 1 species
UCUCAAAGAUUAAGCCAUGCAUGUCUAAGUUCACACCCUCGUACGGUGAAACCGCGAAUGGCUCAUUAAAUCAGUCGAGGUUCCUUAGAUGAUCCAUUUCUACUUGGAUAACUGUGGUAAUUCUAGAGCUAAUACAUGCCCAACAGCUCCGACCCCGGGCUUCGCGGUUCGGGGAAAGAGCGCUUUUAUUAGUUCAAAACCAGUCGGGGGUUUCGGCCCUCGUGCUUUGGUGACUCUGGAUAACUUUGAGCCGAUCGCAUGGCCUCGAGCCGGCGACGCAUCUUUCAAAUGUCUGCCCUAUCAAAUGACGACGGUACGUGAUCUGCCUACCGUGUUGACUACGGGUAGCGGGGAAUCAGGGUUCGAUUCCGGAGAGGGAGCAUGAGAAACGGCUACCACAUCCNAGGA